rnacentral:tRNA from 1 species
GCCGGAGUGGUGGAACUGGCAGACGCGCCGGACUCAAAAUCCGGAGGAGUUCAAGCUCCGUGAGGGUUCAAGUCCCUCCUCCGGCA